rnacentral:rRNA from 1 species
GAUANCGGCGCGCCUAACACAUGCAAGUCGCACGAGAAAGGGCUUCGGCCCCGGUAAAAUGGCGCACGAAUGAGUAACACGUAGGUAAUCUCCCCUCGAAUGGUGGAUAACCCUCCGAAAGGAGAGCUAAUACAGCAUGAGACCACGAGCUCUUCGGAGCUUGCGGCCAAAACAGGCCUCUACAUGUAAGCUUGCGCUGGAGGAUGAGCCUGCGGCCCAUCAGGUAGUUAGCGGGAUAACGGCCCACCAAGCCAAAGACGGGUAGCUGGUCUGAGAGGAUGAACAGCCACACUGGAACUGACACACGGUCCAGACUCCUACGGGAGGCAGCAGUGGGGAAUCUUGCGCAAUGGGCGAAAGCCUGACGCAGCGACGCCGCGUGAGCGAUGAAGGCCUUCGGGUUGUAAAGCUCUGUGGGGAGGGAAGAAUAAGGGUUGGCUAAUACCCAGCUCGAUGACGGUACCUCCUUAGCAAGCACCGGCUAAACUCUGUGCCAGCAGCCGCGGUAAUACAGAGGGUGCAAAACCUUGUUCGGAAUUACUAAAACGUAAAGCGCGUGCCAAACCGGCCUUUGCCAAGUCGGACGUGAAAUCCCAUGACUUCAACCCAUGGAAGUGGCAUUUCCGAAAACUUGNGAGGGCUUG